UAGCCAGUUGAAUGUGAUGGAGCAUCAAUG
rnacentral:piRNA from 2 species